AACAAAUUGGAUAGACAGAAGGGGCCACAUUCUGAAAAGUUAUAUUUAACUCUGGUCACCUAAGCUGCGUUUGGAAAGCAGGCAGUUGGAUAAAGCAUCAGCCUAAUGUGUUUCUGUGAAGAGUUUCAAAGUUGGUAUUUCCCAGUGAAAGAAUACUAGAGCACGUUUUCUAUCUUGUGCUACCUGAGGUUACGUGGACCCAGCAGACCUGGCUGCAGGCUCCAGGAGCAACUCACAUCAUGACCUGAACUGUGAGGCUCAGCUGUGCUUUCCUUCAUGCUCAGCACGGUACAGAGAUGUAUGGAAACCAUGGUUUGAAAAGCAGUUUGCAUAACAUCUGAACCAGUCCACCGAUGGCAUCAGACGUUCUUGCUUGAUGGGAGGGAGCCAAGGCCUCUACAGUUAAGUCACUGCCCAGUUCUUCUCAUCAAACUACGCAUGUGAAAAGGCAGGAGACCUGGUUUUAGAAAAACGCCCAAGUCAAUGUUGUUCCAGCCCAUGAAGUGACACGAGUGGGGGCUGAGAGGACAGGUCUCACCUUCCUCCCCUCUUCCUCUCCUCCCCUAGUACCCCACCCCAAAGGUUUGCUUUACGUUUGGGAUUUCAGUCGAGAUACCAAAAAACGGUGGGGGAUGGAGGGGAAAAGGAGACAGUUAUUUAACCAGUUUGUGUAUGCUUAAAAAACAACAACAACAACAACAACAGAUGCUAUCUGUUUCCUGUUGUUCUGCCCACACUGUUCAGUUUGGAUUUGAUCUGGGUGGUGUAUGUGUAUGAAGGAGGGAGGGAGUCACGCUUUGCCCAUCUAUUAUUGCCUGAUAACUUUAAAAAAGUUAAAGCCACGUAUGACCCCACGCUCUCAGCUAAGAAAAACUCAGGACUGCAGAGCAGCACCCCUGCCCUGCAGUUUAGGCAGAUCUUGAGAUGCUCUCAGAUUUCUCAGGAUUCUGUGAUCUGAUUUUUUUUAUCACUUCUUCAAAAAUCACAUUAACUGGGCAAGCAGUUGUGAUUAUAAUGAGAUUUAAAUGAAAGUUUUUAUUGAGCCAUGGGAUGUUUUAAGCAGAUAUGCCAAAUGAACAAGCUUAGUGUUUAUCCAGCAGAUAAGAUGCACAUGAAGCUGCCAGAGAAAGUCUCUGUAAAAGUUAUGGGAGAAGGAAGGAAGUGAUGGGCAGUAUUAGGUAGGGGAAAGCAAGGCAGGAGAGGAGAAGGCAGAUGAGAAAUGUUUGUAUUUGUAGAGAGGUAAUCACAGAAUGGUGUAGGUUGGAGGUUAUCUGCUCCAACCCCAAAAUACUUAAAGUGUUCUACUUACAUGAAGGAAGUGUAGCUGAGGACUUUAUUGGCUGAUGUUGUUUUUUUAAUGUGCCUAAACAAUAAUAACAAAAACCCUAUAAAUACGUGAAUGGCGCUGAAGUUUAUUUGUUUACUUACUGAGUGGCAUGGGACUCCUGCAGAGUUUUCCCUCCAGCUGUGUCGACUCAGGACCCUGCCUGACGGGAGCUCUGUGUAACAUUUCGUACAACACAGAGUAUUAUUUAGAGUCCCGGGCACACUUCCCACUGCAUUAAAAUCAAAUUGAGUUCUCACAGGUCACGUUGCUGGCCUAGAUGGUACAGUCCUCUUAAGGGUCUUUCCCCUUUCCUCUUUCUGCUGUGCAUUCGUUCUUUUCCUUCAGCUGGUUUAGAAAAUGAGGUCACAUCUGAGCUGGGUCCCUGAUCCCAUCAAGUUUCUUUGCUCUGUAGCCAAAACCUGCCCAACUCUCUUUCUCUCUACUGUAUUUUCCCUGCAAUGUUAACUUGCUCUGCUCCUUGUUUACACAGAUGGAGGCUACACGUUUAACUGCAAAAACAAAAGUACAUAACUGCAUCUGCAUAACUUCGGCACAAGUGUGCAGCCUCCUCUCUGUGACCCCUGUUUCGCAGCCUUAGGCCAGAUUUUAGCUUCUUGGCUUCAGCGUCCUGGAAAGAUGCGAAGCCCCUGAGCACCCACUUGACUGCUCUCUUUCAUUUUAAUGCUUUCUUAUCUUUACUGCUUUUCCAUGCUUUGGACUACUGACAAAGCAAGAAAGGGCUUCUCAGGCUGAAAAACGGACAUCAUCACCUAAGCCUCCUUCUAAUGCACAGCUGCCAGACUUUAUGCGUGCGCACGGGUUUUGAUGGAGAUACUGAGCUGGGUGUUCAGGCACUGCACAGAGCCCAGUGGAGCACGCUCAUCGGGGGAGACCGGAUCUCCUUGCCUUGUUACUCGCAGAGAUGUAGGAGGGCUGGAAGCAAGGCUUCUGACAGCGGGUGUUUGGAGGGGAAGGCUGGCAGCUGCCUCCAUGCCCAGGAGGCUUCUUUCACUGGUGCUAUGAAGGCAAACAGCAGUGACUUAGAGGGUUUGGUCUGACUGGAAAUGAGGUGCAGAAAAGAAUAACAGGGGAGAAAUAGAAUAGAGCAACAGUUAGUUCAGAGGAGAGGAUGGUAUGAGCUUGAGUUUCAUUUUAAGGCUCUGAUUUAUCUGAGCUGAGGAUGGCAUCAGCUGAAAUUCAGAAUGAAACUAGGACACAGACUUAAUUGCAAAACCAGCUGAAACCACAGGAUUCAGUCAAAGAAUAUUCUCACUCAUUUGAGGCUGGCAUAGGGUUUCACUCUGAGCUUCAGCAGGAGGUUUUGGGGCCCCCAAAGCAGAUUCAGGGGGUUAAAAUUCAGUUGUUUUCUCAAAUUCAGCCCUGGACUAGCAGAAGUGUUGAGGGGGAUGAUUGCAGAGCAGCCACAUGAGCAGGAGUGACAACUGGCUGGCACACUGCUUUUCCACCUAACAGUGAAAUACA